UUGUUUUUGGAAUUACGAAAUUAUGGUAUCAAACUUUGCAGUUUCUUACCGAUUUUUGAAUUACUUUGUAGCCCUGAAGGUCCAGCGCAAGCAUUAUAAUACCUCCAAAAUUCAGUUGUCGGGCUUGAAUGCCACUAUUCCGUAUAUUUCUACGCUCCGGUGUAGUAGUUGAACCUAUAAAAUGGAAAACCGUUCAUGUUAUAGUAAAACACUUGUAAUAUUUACAUACUUUGAGAAUGUGGGGUUCGUCGAAUACGUGGCGAUAAAUUCGCCAUGGAGUAGAAAUCAGGGCAUUCCUUCCUUGGGGUCAGGAAGAUGAGAUCAGUUGUCUGGGGCACUACAGUGGACGCAUCAAUUUUACUUGCCUCCAGUGGUGAUUGACUUUCAAUUUGUUUUUACCUCGAGGAGGCAAAAUCGUUGGUACCGCAGAUUGAUGCAGCCUUUGUGUACCUUGGACAUAGUCUUCAGCCCGAAAAUGUUGGUAGCAAAUGUACCCUCUCCGAUAAAUUUGGUCAUUUGUUAAACCCUCGAAUUUUGGGUUAUUGGAGGCUUUAACCCAUGCCAUAAACCUAUCUAGACCCCGUUUCGGAUGUGGAAACCUAAAUAUAGGGGCCAUCCUGUUCCCACAUUUAUAAAUUGCACAAGUUUUGUGCGUUUUUUGUGCUUCCAUUCUUUUUUCUACAAACAUUUGUUAUAAUAAUGCUAUAAACAAUGAACAUAAAGUGAAAACAUUUGUAUACUUACAUUUUUUUGUACACUACACAACACAACAGCUACAAAAUGCACUUAGCAACACGAUAAAAAUAAAACUGUUGUGUUUCUUUGGUGGUGUGGGGGUGUUAGGGGAAAGUAGUGUCGUGUGCAGGGAUGUGAAUUCUAAAAUUUUGAAAAUCCGCGCGAAGCAGCGUUUACAGGUUUCUUUUCAUGCGACCCCUGGUGAGUGGGGUUUUCUAUGGCUG